GCCUAAGAAGCUAAUGUUAUAGCGUUGGUCUUGUAAACCAAAGGAAGGAUUUUAUUCCCUAAGGCU
rnacentral:tRNA from 1 species